UUAGCAAAUACCCCCUACAACAUUUGGCUCUUGGGGUGGGCCAGGCUUGAGUUUACUUCCUUUUAUAUUUAAGAUGAAAAUGAAUGAAGAAAAAUAUUUAAGGAGAGGCUGUGAUUUCUGCUUCAUCUGUAGUCUAGAUCCCCCCGCCACAGAGGAGCAGGUCCAGGGGGAAAGCCUCCCUCCCCCAGCCCCGAAGGCUGUGAAGGAGCUGGGCUCCUGCCCCCUGCCUGCCUUGUUUCUCGCCUUUCCCUACUGUCUGUCAUUUCUCUUUUCCUCCAUUUCUGGGCUGGGCCGACCUCUCACAGCAUUAUUUUUAGUUCUCCUACGAAAACACUGACUUGUUUCUCCCGUGGUUUCUUUUUCCCUUUACCAAGGAGGUGCGAUGAUUUUUCUGCUUGUGCGUUCAAGGGCGUCGGGAACAUUGUGUGCUGGGGUUUAACCCCUUGCAUUUCCCCCAGGUCCUUUGUUCAGCUGCUCAUGAACUCUUAAUUUUUUCCAGGCUUGUGUGUUUUGUCCAGACUGCAGCUUUUCUGGAGCUUGGCCGGCCUCUUUGUUUGGGGGAAGCUUAUUGCUUCACAGGGAGACCAUCUGACAGUUGUUAUCUGGGACCUGAGAGACAGAACCGCCAGCGAUGGGAGCCAGAGGCAGGGAUGAGCUGUCCUUCGCACGGACCUCCCAGCUCCCCAGCCCCCGCCACCAUCUGGGACCACCCGAGGAAAGGGACGGUGUGACACCGAAUGUCCACGGAGGAUGGACCAUGUCUCCACCCACCAAGGCGGCCGGCUCUGUCCUUGAGCCCCUGACAUGAGGAUUGAAGUCUUCUGGAAAUGUCGACAGGUAACGAUAUCCCCUAAUACAUGUUCCGAUCCUCAUCAGCCUUCACCCAAGAACAUGUUUAAGUGAUGAAGGGUCCAGAGCUAAGGAAGAAAUUCCACUGCUAUUCUCAGAUGUAUAUACCCAAACAUGGGUAAAAACAAGGAAGCAUUUAUAGCACUGUGUAUUGUUGAAGUCCUUUUGGUUAAAAAUGGGACGAAACAAAACAAACCAAAACAAAACGAAAACAUUUCGGGCAGCCUCCUUCCCCUGUUGCCGGCUCGUAAGUUUCCUACUUGGACAUGAGAAAUUACAGUGAUGGAACAAAGUGGGAACUCUGCUUGGCCAUGGACACUCAGGGUAAAGCUGAGUUUGAUCCCACUAAGACGUCUACAGCAAGGUGGGCCAUCUGCAGGGUGAGACACGAAUGCUGAGCUUAAUGGAAAGAAUUUUCCUUAUGUAACCUUGCACUUCAAAUAAAAGUGAUAAGUGGAGCAAGAAUUUC